rnacentral:rRNA from 1 species
UGGGGAAUAUUGGACAAUGGGCGAAAGCCUGAUCCAGCCAUGCCGCGUGUGUGAAGAAGGUCUUCGGAUUGUAAAGCACUUUAAGUUGGGAGGAAGGGCAGUAAGCGAAUACCUUGCUGUUUUGACGUUACCGACAGAAUAAGCACCGGCUAACUCUGUGCCAGCAGCCGCGGUAAUACAGAGGGUGCAAGCGUUAAUCGGAAUUACUGGGCGUAAAGCGCGCGUAGGUGGUUCGUUAAGUUGAAUGUGAAAGCCCCGGGCUCAACCUGUGAACUGCAUCCAAAACUGGCGAGCUAUAGUAGGGCAGAGGGUGGUGGAAUUUCCUGUGUAGCGGUGAAAUGCGUAGAUAUAGGAAGGAACACCAGUGGCGAAGGCGACCACCUGGGCUCAUACUGACACUGAGGUGCGAAAGCGUGGGGAGCAAACAGG